GGCGGCCCCCACGGCGCAGCAGCAGGAAUCCAUCCGGAGCCUGCCGGGCACGGGCUGCGCACAUUCCUCCUCCUCCCACCGCAGGUAACACCCUUCACUCUGGCAAAUCCUCUUGAGCAAGCUGUGUCUGGAAUCAAGCCAGAAGGAUAUAUUGUUACUGCUUUAGAGUGACAGGAAUGCAGGAGCACAAAAUUUAAAAAUACAGGAAGGAAUGUUUGAUAUGAAAACUACAUCAGAGCUAUACAGACCAGGUUUUCUCCAGCAAAACUGGUGGAGUUGUGUUGAGCACAGACAGCAGUGACAGAAACAAUCUGUCUAUGGAAAUGAUCCAUGAGUGAACACUGGAUCUGAAGUGAAAAACUGCUCUGCUACUAUCCCAGCUGACUGAAAAUCAACUGCAAAUGCAAGUGACUCCUGUCAAAUCAGAGAGAACUGUUUUAUGCCUAAUCUGAAAAAAUCUCUAAUCUCAAAAAAAAAUAAAAAA